rnacentral:lncRNA from 1 species
GAUUCUAUAAUAUUCUUUUUGUUGUAGACGGAAGAGAAAGCAAUAUGAAGUUUCUGAGGCAGGUAAUGUUCCUUGCAUCCUUAGCUUAGUUUGAUCCAAUUUUAUAGUGACAUUGGAGGCCAUGGAUUCGUAGUCCUAAUGCAUUGUACUAAAAUAAAUAAAUCCUCAACCAUGUUUUUCAGUAUGUUGAAUUAUGUGAGGAUAGUUUUCAGUUUAUACGCAUGUCUAUGAACUUUGGUUUCAGUCUAGGUAGGUCACACUUUGAUUGGAUAUUUGACAUGUUAGAAGAGACUUGUUUGAAAAAUAAUACCAGCCAGUCACACCUGUUUGACAUAAAGAAUAUGAAAUAUCUUCAAUAGCUACUCCUUCAGGGAAUCCUUUGCUUCUGGUAUAGUCUCAUAUUCAACCUUCUGAACUGACAUCAAACACGUCCUCUGAACUACCAGACUGAAUGGUGACUUUGUAGGUAAAGUAAUUUUAAGAAAAGUAGAUUAGUUGCAACAAAUAUUUUAGUCUUUCACCCAUAUUCUCUUGUUUUCUGCAACUAUUCCAAGAUAGGUCCCAUACUUUCCAUUGCAAUGCACAUCAAUUUCAUUUGGAAACAUACCAUGGUCCAAUUGUUUGUUUUCUUUACUAGUUUUGCAUGGCCAUUGUGUACAACCAUGUUAUAUGUUGCUUGAUGAAACAAGAAUAUGAUGUUUAUGAUUACAGACGAGUGAGUCAUAUCUCAUGAUGAGCCAUUUCGCCUUCCUUUAUGUAGUGUAAAUUUAACCAUUGACAUAUCACUCGGAGAAACAUUUUUAGCUGGGAGAAGGAAGAGAAGAAGGGUGCUUGAAUGGUAAAAAAAGAAGUCGUCAAUGCAACCCGUUGCAACUCACAGGUGUUCUACUGAUGCAGAGGUACCUUUCCUUGCUUGGGAGUUAUAUGUGGUUCUGUUUGCUAAAUCUGUUUUAGAUUUAGACUGAUCUUGCAUGCUUAGCUUUUUAGUGUAUAACUAGUUUGUAGGUCCUACUAUUUGAUCACCGGAUGCAACGGAUGGGUGCCGGAUGGCGUCUUUGGCGUUUCGUUGAGGUACGACCAAACUACACUGCAGUUCGGUCUAGCCAAAGUUAUGCAUGCUGUUUAUCUCUACUUUGCGUGUGAAUGUCCCUGAAACAUGGUUUUGUUUGACUCUAGGUUCAGGACAAUAAACAUGAUAACUCAAUCACUAUUAUCAGAACAAGGUAUGCACACUGAUGGUGAUGAACCCAGUGAUGGCGAGCGCGGGGGGCACGAGCACCA